rnacentral:rRNA from 1 species
AGGGCUUGACAUUUAGGUGAAGCCAGGGAAACCUGGUGGCCGAAAGGAGCCUAAACAGGUGGUGCAUGGCUGUCGUCAGCUCGUGUCGUGAGAUGUUGGGUUAAGUCCCGCAACGAGCGCAACCCUUGUCGUAUGUUGCCAGCAUUUAGUUGGGGACUCGUACGAGACUGCCGGCGUCAAGCCGGAGGAAGGUGGGGACGACGUCAAGUCAUCAUGCCCCUUACGUCCUGGGCUGCACACGUGCUACAAUGGUCGGGACAGCGAGUUGCUACCUCGCGAGAGGAUGCGAAUCUCUUAAACCCGGCCCCAGUUCGGAUUGUAGGCUGAAACCCGCCUGCAUGAAGUCGGAGUUGCUAGUAAUCGCGGAUCAGCAUGCCGCGGUGAAUGCGUUCCCGGGCC